rnacentral:rRNA from 1 species
ACACAUGCAGUCGAACGAUGAUCCCAGCUUGCUGGGGGAUUAGUGGCGAACGGGUGAGUAACACGUGAGUAACCUGCCCUUAACUCUGGGAUAAGCCUGGGAAACUGGGUCUAAUACCGGAUAUGACUCCUCAUCGCAUGGUGGGGGGUGGAAAGCUUUAUUGUGGUUUUGGAUGGACUCGCGGCCUAUCAGCUUGUUGGUGAGGUAAUGGCUCACCAAGGCGACGACGGGUAGCCGGCCUGAGAGGGUGACCGGCCACACUGGGACUGAGACACGGCCCAGACUCCUACGGGAGGCAGCAGUGGGGAAUAUUGCACAAUGGGCGAAAGCCUGAUGCAGCGACGCCGCGUGAGGGAUGACGGCCUUCGGGUUGUAAACCUCUUUCAGUAGGGAAGAAGCGAAAGUGACGGUACCUGCAGAAGAAGCGCCGGCUAACUACGUGCCAGCAGCCGCGGUAAUACGUAGGGCGCAAGCGUUAUCCGGAAUUAUUGGGCGUAAAGAGCUCGUAGGCGGUUUGUCGCGUCUGCCGUGAAAGUCCGGGGCUCAACUCCGGAUCUGCGGUGGGUACGGGCAGACUAGAGUGAUGUAGGGGAGACUGGAAUUCCUGGUGUAGCGGUGAAAUGCGCAGAUAUCAGGAGGAACACCGAUGGCGAAGGCAGGUCUCUGGGCAUUAACUGACGCUGAGGAGCGAAAGCAUGGGGAGCGAACAGGAUUAGAUACCCUGGUAGUCCAUGCCGU